rnacentral:misc_RNA from 1 species
GAUGAAGAACGUAGCGAAAUGCGAUAAGUAAUGUGAAUUGCAGAAUUCAGUGAAUCAUCGAAUCUUUGAACGCACAUUGCGCCCGCUAGUAUUCUGGCGGGCAUGCCUGUCCGAGCGUCAUUUCAACCCUCAAGCCCCCGGGCUUGGUGUUGGGGAUCGGCGAGCCUCCGCGCCCGCCGUCCCCUAAAUCUAGUGGCGGUCUCGCUGUAUCUUCCUCUGCGUAGUAGCACACCUCGCACUGGGAAACAGCGCGGCCACGCCGUUAAACCCCCAACUUCUGAACGUUUGACCUCGGAUCAGGUAGGAAUACCCGCUGAACUUAAGCAUAUCAUAAGCGGAGGA